rnacentral:rRNA from 1 species
AUUGAACGCUGGCGGCAGGCUUAACACAUGCAAGUCGAACGCCCCGCAAGGGGAGUGGCAGACGGGUGAGUAACACGUGGGAACGUACCCUUUGGUUCGGAAUAACUCAGGGAAACUUGAGCUAAUACCGGAUAUGCCCUUAUGGGGAAAGAUUUAUCGCCGAAGGAUCGGCCCGCGUCCGAUUAGCUAGUUGGUGAGGUAACGGCUCACCAAGGCGACGAUCGGUAGCUGGUCUGAGAGGAUGAUCAGCCACACUGGGACUGAGACACGGCCCAGACUCCUACGGGAGGCAGCAGUGGGGAAUAUUGGACAAUGGGGGCAACCCUGAUCCAGCCAUGCCGCGUGAGUGAUGAAGGCCCUAGGGUUGUAUAGCUCUUUCGGCGGGGACGAUAAUGACGGUACCCGCAGAAGAAGCCCCGGCUAACUUCGUGCCAGCCGCCGCGGUAA